AUGGCUCCUGCAGCCUUUCCAACCUCCCUUCCUCUCUGUCUGGUCCUGGCCUCUGACUUUGCCCAGGCAGGCAGGCUGCUGGUGGUGCCCUUGGAUGGGAGGUAGUGGUUCACCAUGCAGAUGGUUGUGGAGAAACUAAUUCACAGAGGGCAUGAGGUGGUGGUAGUCAUCCCAGAGGUGAGUUGGCAGCUGGGCAAAUCCCUAAAUUGUACAAUGAAAACAUAUGCAGUCUCUCAGACUCUCAAGGAUUUUAACCGGGUGUUUACUGAAUCUCAAUGGAAAAUCCAAGAAGAGGGAACACUUCUCUACUGAAGAGUCCAGCCAAAGGUUUCUUUGAACUCUUAUUUUCACACUGUAGGAGUUUGUUUAACGUCAAGAAGUUAGUGGAGUACUUUAAGCAGACUUCUUUUAAUGUUGUGUUUUUUGAUCCUUUUAAUGUCUUUGGUUUAAUUGUAGUCAAGUCUUUCUCUCUCCCAUCCGUGGUCUUAAGCAGAGGAAUAUUUUGUUAAUAUCUUGAAGAUGGCACCCAGUGUCACAGUCCUCCCUCUUUUGUCCACAGAGCUCUCUUGAAAUACACAGACACCAUGAUUUUCAAGGAGAAAAAUAAGUGACCUUUAAAUGGGGGAGCAUGCAUUUUGUCAUACUUUUUUCAAAAGUGCUGCAGAUAUUGCCUGUGGCGUUCUCCAGACACGAGUGAGUAUGACAGACCUCUUCAGCCCAGUGUCCUUUUGGUUGUUAGGCAGAGACUUUGUCUUGGAGUUCCCCAGACCCAUGAUGCCCAAUGUGAUCUAUGUUGGUGGGAUCAACUGCCACCAGGGAAAGCCACUUUCCAAG
rnacentral:lncRNA from 1 species